GAUAAAUAAAGUGAACGAACAAUUGUUUAGUUUCUGGACAAAAGAACAAAUAUAUUUGUUCUCGUCAUAUUGUUGAUUCAGUUGCUUCGGGAGAAUCAAUUUUCUCACUCGAUUCUAGUAUAAAAAUCAUACCCAUGGUACUUGGAAUUCACUUCUUCUAACUGCGAUCUAGUAUUCACUUGAUUCAAAGAAAAUCAAAAAUGAUGAGCUGCAAAAUUUUUGGACUCUUCGUGUUCAUUGCAACAAUUUUGAUAAUGGCACCAACAACCUUGGCCCAGUGUAUUGCCAAUAGAAACGGUUGUCAACCUGACGGAAGUCAAGGAAGAUGUUGCUCUGGUAAUUGCUACAAGGAAGCAGGAUGGGUCGCUGGAUACUGCAGAUAAUUCGAAUGCGACUUUCCAAAAAAUCCUUCUUCAAAAAUGUAUUUUUCCAAAUUAUAACAUUCGUUUUUAGUCUCGUGUGGUAUUUUUUAAACGUACCAUUCUUUUGUCUAAAUUUGAAUUCCAAAUUGUAUUUUCAAUAAUUUAAAAAUGUAAUCAAGUGUUCGCCAAGAAUAAAUUGUUGUUUCAAUUGAUUUAAAAUGAAAA